ACGGCUGAACAGCAACUUGCAGGAAUGAGAGUUAAUAUAAAUGGUUUAUUAACUUGCUUGACUAGGUCUUAUAAAAUUCUGGAUAAAGCUUAUAAUGAAAACUUUAUAUCUAUAGGUCUCGGCCAAAUCUUGUGCCAGCAGCCGCGGUAAGACAAGGGAGACGAGUGUUAGUCAUCUUUAACAGGUAUAUAGGGUACCUAGACGGUGUGCAAAGGCUUAUAAAAGUACCUGCCACACUUGAGUUUGAUAUGUGAGAGGAAAAUGUCAGAAUUAUUGGAGUACAGAUGAAAUCGGCUAAUACUAAUAAGACUGAUAACGGCGAAGGCAAACCUCUAUGUACAAGUGCUUAAUAAUUUUUAAAAUGCAAAUAUUAUAGAAGGAGGAUAACCACCUACCUGCAUAAAAGACUUAGGUCUUAAUAAAAUUUUUAAAAAAGUACUAUAACUGACGUUGAGGGACGAAGGCUCAGAAAGUGAAGAGGAUUAGAUACCCCCGUAGCCUGGGCAGACAAUGAUGAGUGCCAUAGGUUAGCCGUAGGCUGAACUAUAAAUGAAAGUGGAAGCACUCCACCUCAAGAGUAAUGUGGCAACGCAGGAACUGAAAUCAUUAGACCGUUUCUGAAACCAGUAGUGAAGUAUGUUAUUUAAUUCGAUGAUCCUCGAAUAACCUUACCACAAUUUGAAUGAUCUAAAAAAAAGAGGUUUACUAAUAGGUAAACCUAUGGUUUAGACCACAUGCGUUGCAUGGCUGUCUUCAGUUAAUGUCGUGAGAUUUGGUUAGGUCCAUUAAAUUAACGUAAACCCUUGUUUUAUUUAAUAUAAUAAGACAGCUCUCCGCCUAUAAUUGGAUGUGAUAAUAGGGACUAAGACAAGUCAUCAUGGCCUUAAUAUUGUGGGCUAUAGACGUGCCACAUA
rnacentral:rRNA from 1 species